rnacentral:rRNA from 1 species
AGGGAGGCAAGACCGUGAGGUGGAGNGAACCCCUAAAAGCCGUCCCAGUUCAGAUUGCAGUCUGCAACUCGACUGCAUGAAGUCGGAAUCGCUAGUAAUCGCGGAUCAGCAUGCCGCGGUGAAUACGUUCCCGGGCCUUGUACACACCGCCCGUCACACCAUGAGAGUCGGGAACACCCGAAGUCCGUAGCCUAACCGCAAGGAGGGCGCGGCCGAAGGUGGGUUCGAUAAUUGGGGUGAAGUCGUAACAAGGUAAC